UACUUGUAUUCAUAAUAUAAUUUUUCUUUUUUCCAAGGUAAAUUGGAGGACACACAUUCUUAUUCUAUUGUUACCGAAGAUUGUGAUGAAGAUGGAGAUCAAAUUGAUUAUAUUGAUAUGGAUGUUGAUGAUGUCGAAAGUAGCUGCAAUAUGGAAGACAUCUUUGAGGAUUACAGAAAUUGAUCGUUUCAAUAUUAGGAUUAUUAUGUUCUCAUUUUGGAUUGUUUGGUUUUAAAUGAAUUAUGAUGUUCUUAUUUAUUUUGGAUUGUUUAGUUUUAAAUGGAUUAUGGUGUAUUUUGUAUUCUUGAAUGAUUGUUGAAACUUUAGACAA